UAAAGCAGCAAUGCACUUCAGGAUGGGCUUGCGGCCUAUCAGCUAGUUGGUGAGGUAAUGGCCCACCAAGGCGACGACGGGUAGCUGGUCUGAGAGGAUGGUCAGCCGGACUGGGACUGAGACACGGCCCAGACUCCUACGGGGGGCAGCAAUUAGGAAUCUUGCGCAAUGGGGGAAACCCUGACGCAGCGACGCCGCGUGAAGGAUGAAGGCCUUCGGGUCGUAAACUUCUUUUAUCGGGGAAGAAGUAAGUGACGGUACCCGGUGAAUAAGCCCCGGCUAACUACGUGCCAGCAGCCGCGGUAAUACGUAGGGGGCGAGCGUUGUCCGAAGUUACUGGGCGUAAAGCGCGCGUAGGCGGGCUAUUAAGUUGGAUGUGAAAUCUUCGGGCUCAACCCGGAAACCGCAUCCAAAACUGUUAGCCUUGAGGUAUGGAGAGGGAAGUGGAAUUCCUGGUGUAGCGGUGAAAUGCGUAGAUAUCAGGAGGAACACCCGUGGCGAAGGCGGCUUCCUGGUCAUAUCCUGACGCUGAGGCGCGAAAGCUAGGGGAGCGAACGGGAUUAGAUACCCGGUAGUCCUAGCCGUAAACGAUGGAUACUAGGUGUUAGUGGUAUCGACCCCACUAGUGCCGUAGCUAACGCAAUAAGUAUCCCGCCUGGGGAGUACGGCCGCAAGGUUGAAACUUAAAUGAAUUGACGG
rnacentral:rRNA from 1 species